ensembl:lncRNA
GCUUUAGUGAUGCCAUUGUGCUGCACUGACUUGUGCCACUCAACUAUGCACAUAUACACACACCUUUUAGUGUCUUGAGAGUUAAAAAGCACAUACAUACACAAUGUUCUUGGAGGAUGCUUCUUGGUUUUUGGUAGCACAAUUUCUCUAAUUCUGUAAAAUGAAAUGAUUUAAUGUGCAGAUUAUAUGAACUAAUAUUCACUGCAUGAUUUAUACAUUUGUCUGACCAUUGUUCAAGGAAACUGCUGAAUGUAAUGUAACCAUUAUUAUUAUCAUUAUAACUAUUAAUUUAUAAUAAAUAUUAUUAUUAUAUUUAAAUAUAAUUAUAAUAAAACCUACAAUGAACCUACUGAAAUGUAUACAUUUAAAGAAAAAGUGCAUAUUUUAGAUACUAUAUUAUUAAAAAAUGUCUUUGUGGUUUUUGUCCAAACAUUCAAUGUCAAUGGGGUCCCAUUUAGAAUCUGCUGACUUAUUAUAUGGACAAAAACUGUUUAAAUAUUCACUAAAAUAUCUUCUUUUGUGUUCCACAGAAGAAAAAAAGUUAUUCAACUGUUGAAAAAGAUGUUAUCCCCCCCCCCCACAUCAAACAAACACACACAAAAAACUUAUGUUUACAGGGAUUGUGUAGAUUUAAUGUUAUGACAUUUUUUACACCAGUGGUGCCCAUUUUGAUGAUCUUGCCCAGGACCCCACCACAAAGACGUAGGAAGCAGAGUAAGAGUGGAAGGGAAGCAGUUUUCGGUGCUGCUGCUGACGUUGUGAAUCUGUGGACAUUUGGAUCCUAUAACAUAGGCCAAACCUGAUCCACACACAGGUACAGUCAGAAACAGUUUGUAUAAAUCAAAAUCAUUUCCAACUGUGUAUCCAAAGAUGUGUCUGACAUGUUAGGGCAAACAAUUCUGAGUGACAUUACUCCAUAACCUCUAACUGUCCAUUUCUGUUGCAUGACAAACCCUAGUAGUGCAG